CCUACGGGAGGCAGCAGUGGGGAAUCUUGCGCAAUGGGCGAAAGCCUGACGCAGCAACGCCGCGUGCGGGAAGAAGGCUUUCGGGCUGUAAACCGCUUUCAGCAGGAACGAAAAUGACGGUACCUGCAGAAGAAGGAGCGGCCAACUAUGUGCCAGCAGCCGCGGUGAUACAUAGGCUUCAAGCGUUGUCCGGAUUUAUUGGGCGUAAAGAGUUCGUAGGCGGUCGAGUAAGUCGGGUGUGAAAAUUCUGGGCUCAACCCAGAGACGCCACCCGAUACUGCUUGACUUGAGUUCGAUAGGGGAGUGGGGAAUUCCUAGUGUAGCGGUGAAAUGCGCAGAUAUUAGGAGGAACACCGGUGGCGAAGGCGCCACUCUGGAUCGAUACUGACGCUGAGGAACGAAAGCAUGGGUAGCAAACAGGAUUAGAUACCCUGGUAGUCCAUGCCGUAAACGGUGGGCACUAGGUGUGGGUUUCUAUUAACGAAAUCCGCGCCGUCGCUAACGCAUUAAGUGCCCGCCUGGGAGUACGGUCGCAAGACUAAAACACAAAGGAAUUGACGGCGUUGAGAGAGCGACGACGACGACGAGGAGGAGG
rnacentral:rRNA from 1 species